rnacentral:rRNA from 1 species
GUGAAGAGGGAAACAACCCAGACCGCCAGCUAAGGUCCCAAAGUCAUGGUUAAGUGGGAAACGAUGUGGGAAGGCCCAGACAGCCAGGAUGUUGGCUUAGAAGCAGCCAUCAUUUAAAGAAAGCGUAAUAGCUCACUGGUCGAGUCGGCCUGCGCGGAAGAUGUAACGGGGCUAAACCAUGCACCGAAGCUGCGGCAGCGACACUAUGUGUUGUUGGGUAGGGGAGCGUUCUGUAAGCCUGUGAAGGUGUACUGUGAGGUAUGCUGGAGGUAUCAGAAGUGCGAAUGCUGACAUAAGUAACGAUAAAGCGGGUGAAAAGCCCGCUCGCCGGAAGACCAAGGGUUCCUGUCCAACGUUAAUCGGGGCAGGGUGAGUCGACCCCUAAGGCGAGGCCGAAAGGCGUAGUCGAUGGGAAACAGGUUAAUAUUCCUGUACUUGGUGUUACUGCGAAGGGGGGACGGAGAAGGCUAUGUUGGCCGGGCGACGGUUGUCCCGGUUUAAGCGUGUAGGCUGAUUUUCCAGGCAAAUCCGGAAAAUCAAGGCUGAGGCGUGAUGACGAGGCACUACGGUGCUGAAGCAACAAAUGCCCUGCUUCCAGGAAAAGCCUCUAAGCAUCAGGUAACAUCAAAUCGUACCCCAAACCGACACAGGUGGUCAGGUAGAGAAUACCAAGGCGCUUGAGAGAACUCGGGUGAAGGAACUAGGCAAAAUGGUGCCGUAACUUCGGGAGAAGGCACGCUGAUAUGUAGGUGAAGCGACUUGCUCGUGGAGCUGAAAUCAGUCGAAGAUACCAGCUGGCUGCAACUGUUUAUUAAAAACACAGCACUGUGCAAACACGAAAGUGGACGUAUACGGUGUGACGCCUGCCCGGUGCCGGAAGGUUAAUUGAUGGGGUUAGCGGUAACGCGAAGCUCUUGAUCGAAGCCCCGGUAAACGGCGGCCGUAACUAUAACGGUCCUAAGGUAGCGAAAUUCCUUGUCGGGUAAGUUCCGACCUGCACGAAUGGCGUAAUGAUGGCCAGGCUGUCUCCACCCGAGACUCAGUGAAAUUGAACUCGCUGUGAAGAUGCAGUGUACCCGCGGCAAGACGGAAAGACCCCGUGAACCUUUACUAUAGCUUGACACUGAACAUUGAGCCUUGAUGUGUAGGAUAGGUGGGAGGCUUUGAAGUGUGGACGCCAGUCUGCAUGGAGCCGACCUUGAAAUACCACCCUUUA